rnacentral:rRNA from 1 species
UACGUAGGGGGCAAGCGUUGUCCGGAAUCAUUGGGCGUAAAGAGCGUGUAGGCGGACUGGAAGGUCUGGUGUGAAAGCCCGGGGGCUCAACCCCGGAGGGUCACUGGAAACCAACAGUCUUGAGUCCGGAAGAGGAGAGUGGAAUUCCUGGUGUAGCGGUGGAAUGCGCAGAUAUCAGGAGGAACACCGAUGGCGAAGGCAGCUCUCUGGUACGUGACUGACGCUGAGACGCGAAAGCGUGGGGAGCGAACAGG